rnacentral:tRNA from 1 species
GCCGAUAUAGCUCAGGGGUAGAGCGUUUCCUUGGUAAGGAAGAGGUCACGUUUUCGAUAACGUUAUCGGCU